UAUCCACUCUCACCAGUCACCAACGGAGCUUCGCCCAGCGCCAUCCCCCCCGCCCCGCCUCCGGAUUCUCUCGCCCCAGGCCGAACAACCCCACGUUCGCCACGUGCGCGCGCGCCACCGCCUCGCCGCCCCAGCCAAUGAUCUAGAGCCUCGCGGAUCUGACGCGGCACCCGCGCCCCGCCUCCGCGGUCCGGUCACCGUCUCGCUUGCCGCCUGUUCGUGCUGCUCUCGCCGGCAUAGGGGGACGCGUGCGGCGAGCUCGUCCAUGGGGACGCUCGUCUGGCUGAGGCCGACCGCGGCCCCGGCCGUCCCCGCCGGUCCCUCCGCCGCGCACGUGGUGGCUGGCGGUGGUAUAAAUGCCCGGCCUCGGCGUGUGUCCAUGGCGUCCCGCUGCCCGAACCCGCGGGUGCUCCAGGCGGGGAGGUGCCGAUGGCUGGUUGCGAGGUCGGGUGUCACGGCCGCUGCGGCGGCCGCCGAUGACCCUGAGGAUUCGUCGGGGCUUUCAGAUCUGCAAGUGGCUUCAAGGAUCAGAGGGGUCUUCUUCUAUGCAGUGACUGCUGUUGUGGCGAUCUUUUUGUUUAUAGCUAUGGUUGUGGUUCAUCCACUUGUGCUCUUGUUUGACCGCCACCGUAGGAGGGCUCAGCACUAUAUUGCAAAGAUUUGGGCUACUCUGACAGUUUCCAUGUUCUACAAGCUUGAAGUCGAGGGAAUGGAGAAUCUACCUCCCAAUAGUAGCCCUGCUGUCUUUGUUGCUAACCAUCAGAGCUUCUUGGAUAUCUAUACCCUUCUAACUCUAGGAAGGUGCUUCAAAUUUAUAAGCAAGACCAGUAUCUUUAUGCUUCCAAUUAUUGGUUGGGCAAUGUAUCUCUUAGGUGUCAUUCCUUUACGGCGUAUGGACAGCAGGAGCCAGCUGGACUGUCUUAAACGGUGUGUGGAUUUGGUGAAAAAGGGGGCGUCUGUAUUUUUCUUUCCAGAGGGAACUCGAAGUAAAGAUGGAAAGCUAGGUAUAUUCAAGCGAGGAGCAUUUAGUGUCGCAGCGAAGACUGGCGUUCCUGUCAUACCUAUUACCCUUCUUGGGACAGGGAAACUGAUGCCUCCUGGAAUGGAAAGCAACCUUAAUUCAGGUUCAGUAAAAGUCAUUAUUCACCGUCCAAUUGAAGGGAAUGAUGCAGAGAAAUUAUGUACCGACGCAAGGAAUGUGAUAGCAGACACUCUUCUUCUACAUGGUUAUGGAGUGCACUAGUGGAAGUGGGUGGUUUUUCCUAUUCAAUGGAUCAUGGAACCUAGUUUGCCGAAACGUGUCGACUCAAGGCAAAGAUAGUUUACAGGUACACGUUACUGACUAGUUCGAUAUUUUGAGAAUCAGUAGGAAAUGCUAUUUGCUUCUUAAGAAGAACAGCUUUUUGAAAUGAAAGAGUUUCCACGGGCGUCGUAUAUCAUUUGUUCAAAUAAGGUUCAUGUAGCAUAAUGGUAUGACUGCGCAAAACGUAUCUUCAGUUUAAACUUCAAGAAAAAGGACACCUUCAGUUUGAAUAUGUGCCCCACAUUUAGAGGUUUGAGAUUGUUAUCUCCACCACAUGGAGGUGUGAGACGAGUGUCCUAAUAAGAGACUGAAUAUAACACAGAUGUAUUUGGUGGCGGAAAUACUUGUAAGUACGUAUUUUUUAAAAAGGAAGGAUUCCAAAAGAUCUACCCUUGUUUGUGCAGCUAGUAGAGGUGCUGAGUGCAGGCAUUCUUUUUGCUGCAGAAUGAAGACAGGGGCUGGAGGAAGAAUAAGAAUGACUUGUGCUUGUUAGUUGCUGUGUGUGACUUGCAAAAUAGGCUUUGAUGUAGUUUAUCUUUCACAAAUUGUAGUUUGCAUUAUUUGCCUUGUUCUAUAGUAUUUAACAUGAAAAGAUGUUAUGUGUCAAAGAAUUCAUCUGGAUUUAGAUGAUCUUGCCAUAUUCUACAUACUGGGAAGAUAAGAAAUUUUUUUGUGGGUGAGAAGAUAAUAAAGUUGGCACGUUGAUU
rnacentral:rRNA from 1 species